AGAGUUUGAUCCUGGCUCAGGACGAACGCUGGCGGCGUGCCUAAUACAUGCAAGUCGAGCGAGUCUGCCUUGAAGAUCGGAGUGCUUGCACUCUGUGAAACAAGAUACAGGCUAGCGGCGGACGGGUGAGUAACACGUGGGUAACCUGCCCAAGAGAUCGGGAUAACACCUGGAAACAGAUGCUAAUACCGGAUAACAACAGAUGAUGCCUAUCAACUGUUUAAAAGAUGGUUCUGCUAUCACUCUUGGAUGGACCUGCGGUGCAUUAGCUAGUUGGUAGGGUAACGGCCUACCAAGGCGAUGAUGCAUAGCCGAGUUGAGAGACUGAUCGGCCACAUUGGGACUGAGACACGGCCCAAACUCCUACGGGAGGCAGCAGUAGGGAAUCUUCCACAAUGGACGCAAGUCUGAUGGAGCAACGCCGCGUGAGUGAAGAAGGGUUUCGGCUCGUAAAGCUCUGUUGUUGGUGAAGAAGGACAGGGGUAGUAACUGACCUUUGUUUGACGGUAAUCAAUUAGAAAGUCACGGCUAACUACGUGCCAGCAGCCGCGGUAAUACGUAGGUGGCAAGCGUUGUCCGGAUUUAUUGGGCGUAAAGCGAGUGCAGGCGGCUCGAUAAGUCUGAUGUGAAAGCCUUCGGCUCAACCGGAGAAUUGCAUCAGAAACUGUCGAGCUUGAGUACAGAAGAGGAGAGUGGAACUCCAUGUGUAGCGGUGAAAUGCGUAGAUAUAUGGAAGAACACCGGUGGCGAAGGCGGCUCUCUGGUCUGUUACUGACGCUGAGGCUCGAAAGCAUGGGUAGCGAACAGGAUUAGAUACCCUGGUAGUCCAUGCCGUAAACGAUGAGUGCUAAGUGUUGGGAGGUUUCCGCCUCUCAGUGCUGCAGCUAACGCAUUAAGCACUCCGCCUGGGGAGUACGACCGCAAGGUUGAAACUCAAAGGAAUUGACGGGGGCCCGCACAAGCGGUGGAGCAUGUGGUUUAAUUCGAAGCAACGCGAAGAACCUUACCAGGUCUUGACAUCCAUAGCCAGUCUAAGAGAUUAGAUGUUCCCUUCGGGGACUAUGAGACAGGUGGUGCAUGGCUGUCGUCAGCUCGUGUCGUGAGAUGUUGGGUUAAGUCCCGCAACGAGCGCAACCCU
rnacentral:rRNA from 1 species